rnacentral:lncRNA from 1 species
UUUUUAGUUUUAAUGAAUUUCAUGAAUGGUCUUAUGCAAAAUAUGCCUUCAUGACAGAAGGAUGCAGGUAAAAAUAAUAUUCAUCAUUUAUUGAUGAGGUUGGAUGUUAGCCGGCAAGGUAACUACAGUAAUUUUAACAGAAUAUGUGUUGAUCUUGUGUAAUAGAACAAAUAUUUGAAAAACGCCAAUUUCCAGAAUAAAUCGAUUUCUUUUUCAUUUUUUUU